GACGAACGCUGGCGGCGUGCUUAAUACAUGCAAGUCGAACGGAAAGGCCCUGCUUUUGUGGGGUGCUCGAGUGGCGAACGGGUGAGUAACACGUGAGUAACCUGCCCUUGACUUUGGGAUAACUUCAGGAAACUGGGGCUAAUACCGGGUAGGAGCUCCUGCUGCAUGGUGGGGGUUGGAAAGUUUCGGCGGUUGGGGAUGGACUCGCGGCUUAUCAGCUUGUUGGUGGGGUAGUGGCUUACCAAGGCUUUGACGGGUAGCCGGCCUGAGAGGGUGACCGGCCACAUUGGGACUGAGAUACGGCCCAGACUCCUACGGGAGGCAGCAGUGGGGAAUAUUGCACAAUGGGCGGAAGCCUGAUGCAGCAACGCCGCGUGCGGGAUGACGGCCUUCGGGUUGUAAACCGCUUUCGCCUGUGACGAAGCGUGAGUGACGGUAAUGGGUAAAGAAGCACCGGCUAACUACGUG
rnacentral:rRNA from 1 species